GGGGGCGAACCGGGUUCGACCGGGCAAGUGAAGUUUAAGUUGCGUGUCGUGGUUGGUCAGCAGGCCACGUUAAAAGCCGACUAAUAAAUUCAAAUGCCGAACCUAAAUUGGCAUUGGCUGCCUAAGAAAAGGUAACCCCGAAUCCAUACUGCCGCCGAAGUGGUGUGACAUUCGGACGUAAUUUCGGACAGUUUCCGCCCAUGUCGAUUACGGCGGAAAUUAAAAAAGUUGUCGAACCGUUUGUGAAAGACCGCCGCCGAUAAGGGCUUGAUCAAAUUAAAAAAUAAAAAAUCGGACACACACGUAGAUGCUUAUUCGGAACUGUUUCGGGACGCGGGUUCAAUUCCCGCCGCCUCCAGUU
rnacentral:tmRNA from 1 species